CUUAAGCCCAGUAAAUAAGGCGAAUCAAGAUGGAUGUUGCAAUGCUGCUCGUGUGUGUAUCUGUGAGAUUAGGAUAAAAUCCUUUAUAGUAGAUCUGAAGUUAGCAGAGAGGGGUACACAAAUCAUUUAUAUCUGCAAGAUACCAGUAACCUGGUUUUAUGUGUUGUGUUGUGCUGUUCUGGCUGACGGUGUGUGGAAUGUCUGAAAGCGACUUUUUACAAGAGGAAAACGACUUGCUCCACGGAUGCGAGAGCUUCAAGGACGAUGGUAAAAGGUUAAAGAGAAGAGAGAAGAACAGAGUAGCUGCACAGAGAAGUCGCAAAAAGCAGACGCAGAAAGCAGACAAAAUCCAUGAG